GUAGGUGGCAAGCGUUGUCCGGAAUUAUUGGGCGUAAAGCGCGCGCAGGCGGUUCUUUAAGUCUGAUGUGAAAGCCCACGGCUCAACCGUGGAGGGUCAUUGGAAGCUGGAGAACUUGAGUACAGAAGAGGAAAGCGGAAUUCCACGUGUAGCGGUGAAAUGCGUAGAGAUGUGGAGGAACACCAGUGGCGAAGGCGGCUUUCUGGUCUGUAACUGACGCUGAGGCGCGAAAGCGUGGGGAGCAAACAGGAUUAGAUACCCUGGUAGUCCACGCCGUAAACGAUGAGUGCUAAGUGUUAGGGGGUUUCCGCCCCCCUUAGUGCUGCAGCUAACGCAUUAAGCACUCCGCCCUGGGAGUACGGCCGCAAGGCUA
rnacentral:rRNA from 1 species